rnacentral:tRNA from 1 species
GGGACUAUAAUUUAAGUUAAAAUAUGUAAUUUGCAUUUACAAAAUUUUAGUUCUA